CCUACGGGAGGCAGCCGUAGGGAAUCUUCCACAAUGGGCGAAAGCCUGAUGGAGCAACGCCGCGUGGGUGAAGAAGGUCUUCGGAUCGUAAAACCCUGUUGUUAGAGAAGAAAGUGCGUGAGCGUAACUGUUCACGUUUCGAUGGUAUCUAACCAGAAAGCCACGGCUAACUACGGGCCAGCAGGUGCGGCAAAUCGUAGGUGGCAAGCUGUAUCCGGAUUUUUUGGGCGUAAAGGGAGCGCAGGCGGUCUUUUAAGUCAGAUGUGAAAGCCUUCGGCUUAACCGCAGUAUUGCCUUUGAAACUGGGGGACUUGAGUGCAGGAGAGGUAAGUGGAACGCCAUGUGUAGCGGUGAAAUGCGUAGAUAUAUGGAAGAACACCAGUGGCGAAGGCGGCUCUCUGGUCUGUAACUGACGCUGAGGUUCGAAAGCGUGGGUAGCAAACAGGAUUAGAUACCCUUGUAGUC
rnacentral:rRNA from 1 species